AUGACUAGGGAUAACCUUAGGAAGAGACACAUCAUCAAACCCCUUGAUUGUGUUUACUGCUUGGAACAAGAGUCUUGUUCCCACCUAUUUUUUAAAUGUAUAGUUGCUAAACAUCUCUGGGCCCACAUUGAGGAAUAUUUCUCUAGUCAGAUUGGCUCAUCGUUCGAAUCCGUCACCAGAUUCUGGAUUGCUACCAAAAAGAGCUCAGUUUUAAACACUGUUAGCUCAGCUGUCCUUUGGUGCCUCUGGAAAUAUAGAAAUGCUAUGAUUUUCAGUAACACCUCCUGGAUUUCCAUUCCGCAGGUCUUGAGGCUGAUCAGGAACAUGGUGAGGAACUGGGCGAUUCUCUCCUCCGGAUCGAACAAGGACAUGUUGAUGAGCUUCAUGGAAACCCUAACAAGAUCCCUCCAGAAACCGUUGGCGAUCACUUGCGGCUGA
rnacentral:rRNA from 1 species